UGGAGCAUUGUGUGAGCUGUAAGAGUGUUUCGAGUUACCAGGACAGGGUGGUCACUUGAAUCGUCGUGAAGUUCUGAACGAAGAACCACAUGUGCACUUUGGGAAAAGUACCCAAAAAAAGAUCACCAGCAACCCCUGAGAAGUGUGCAGAGAGAGGUCAGAUAGGGGGGAUGAUUUAUGGCCGCUGUGGGUGUAACCAAGUAGCAGCAUUGCCUCACUGCUUUUAUAGAUUGCCGGUUGCCAACUUAAUUAUGUUUGCUGGUGUCUUUUUUGGGUCUUGUUUUUGUAGAGUCCUUCUAAAAAUAGCAGCAGCACCUCCUCAGAGGGUUACUGGGGCAGCUGCUGGAGCUCAGAAGAGGCUGUAAUUCAUAUGCUGAAGCCACACAGGGACGUUUGGGCUUUGUAAUUCCUGUGCCAUAAAGCAAAAGAAGCAAAAGUUGUAUCUGAAGAGCCCACAGAAAUUCAGAGGAUGAGGACAUUCCACUCCUGCUGUGCUCGUCAUGGAAGGAAGCACCACUGUAACCCAGGGGAUGGCACUGAGGAUUCUGUUGGCGCACACAGCACACCUUGCAGAAUAAAACCCAGAAUGGCAGCAGAGCAGCUGAUGGCCGUGGGAGCGGCUCAGCCUCACCGAGGGGUUCUGUUUCCUGGGACAAGAACGGGUGCAGCCUCCAGAGCUCCACUGCGAUAAUGCAAGCCAUGGGCACGGGCUGGGAGUGCAGCGUGACCCCGUGGGAACUUCCUGAGGGAAAGCAAGUUUGAGGGAGGGGCAAAGCGCAGGUUCAGCCCCUCUCUGCACUCACAGUGCUCCUCACAGCAGCAUCUAUACAGAAGCACUCCGCAUUUCCCAGGGAGAGGCCCUUACCGCAGCACCCCGUGCUUAGCCCACGACGCUGGCAGCUGUCCCCCCAUGUGUGAGCUCCUCCCCACCGGCCCCAUCCCAGCACCCCCAUCUG
rnacentral:lncRNA from 1 species